AUUAUAAAUGUGAUGGCACAUUAUUCUAGUCACAAAUUUUAUUAUGAAUGCAGAGGUAAAAUACUGUUAAAGAGCAUAUCUGUGAAACUUUUGGUGCUUGCUUAAAUCGCCCAGAUUUGGGUGGGUGCUGGAAGGUUAGAAUUUUGGGAAAUCUAUAAUGGCAUAUAGAGGAACCCAACUUUCGUGGAGACCUAAACUUGUCGAAAGCCUAUACAUGACAACAUUGACGGACUUUCAAUGACUUAGGGCGUAACCUACUAUGUGGGGAAACUUGCGAGUAGUGUAGCUUGUCUUGAGUGAAUGCUAUGGGAUAAUUGAUCAGAAUUAAGCUAUUAGGCCAAAUAACUUAGUUUAUCGCAAUUUGAAAUUACAUUUGCAAAAAAGAAUUAAUAAUAAAAUAAGUGUUGAGGAAAACUCCUAGAGUGCAUAUAUUAUAGGAUUGCAGUGUAUACUAAGUGGUGAUCAAGUUAUACGAUUGGUAACGACGUAUUAGGAUCUUUAAAGGGAAACCGCAAAUGUGGUAACGCAUUGUAGAGACUAGAGAAAUUCUACUUGACCUAAGAUACAAAGUUAACUAUAUUAUCGCCAAAC
rnacentral:sRNA from 1 species